AAAUUGAAAAUUUAGUAAAAAAUCAAAAAACGGUGAAACACGAGAACAAUUACCCGUGGAAAAAAUCCUUCGAGAAAGCAGUUUGCCCGCACGGGUGCUAGGCACUAUGCGCACACACAGUGGCUGCGGGGUGUGCGCACAGUGUGCAUGUCCCAUCUGCACGCAUGCAUAGUGCACGUCCUGUCAUGCACAGCUGAGCUUUCACGUGACACUUCGUGCACGGACUUACGGCGCACAUCAUGCACGCGAUGUCCUCGUAGCAUGCCUGCGUAGACAGGUGCUGUGUGCUUAAGGCUUGCGCAGGUGGUGCCCAGUACGCCUAGGCCCUGCGUGCGCGACAAUAGGCCUGUGCACCAGUAGGCUAGCCUGCAGCGUGUCGGUCGGGCAUUGCCACCUCCGGUAAUGCACCGUCGUUGCCUUGGGCGGUGCACUGCCAUUGCUGGUAGAGGAAAUUUUUUACCCUUAUUUUUCGUGCCAAAAAUCUUUCUUCCUCUCUUUUCACUGGAUUUUGCCACUUGGCACAAAUCCAACUAUUAUGAAAUUCUAUAAAUUUCCCUUCCCCUUCCCUUCCUUUCCACACUUCCAUUUCUUCUAUUUCUCAAAGGUUUAGAUAGAGAGAGAGAGAGAGUAAAUUAGUGAGAGAAGAAGAGAAAGAAAGGAAAACGGUAAAGAAGAAAACAUCAAAAUUUUGGUAAGAAAUCUAGUAUUACUU
rnacentral:lncRNA from 1 species